CAAUCAGACCACAAUGACUUUCCGAUUGCGUUCACAAUGAAGAACCAGAUGUGAAGAUGCUACAGACCAAAUUUAAGCUUGAUCCAACGGUAAACAAGCUCAGAAAUCUCAGAAAUGUGAACUGUCCUCCUUGAAAAAUCUGCAGAAUGCUCUGUUUCUCCUCUGCUUUUCUCACUUCUCUUCUCUGGCUUUUGAGCAGUCAAAAUGAGAAAUUG
rnacentral:misc_RNA from 1 species